UAGGGAAUAUUGGACAAUGGGUGAGAGCCUGAUCCAGCCAUGCCGCGUGCAGGAAGAAGGCGUUAUGCGUUGUAAACUGCUUUUUGCCAGGGGAUAAAAAGACCGUGCGCGGUUAAUUGAAGGUACCUGGUGAAUAAGCCACGGCUAACUACGUGCCAGCAGCCGCGGUAAUACGUAGGUGGCAAGCGUUGUCCGGAUUUAUUGGGUUUAAAGGGUGCGUAGGUGGCCCUGUAAGUCAGUGGUGAAAUAUCUCAGCUUAACUGAGAGGGUGCCAUUGAUACUGCAGGGCUUGAGUACAGAUGGGGUAGGCGGAAUUGACGGUGUAGCGGUGAAAUGCAUAGAUAUCGUCAAGAACACCGAUAGCGAAGGCAGCUUACCAAGCUGUAACUGACACUGAGGCACGAAAGUGUGGGGAUCAAACAGGAUUAGAUACCCGCGUAGUCCCUGAGCGGGCUGGCAAGGCGCAU
rnacentral:rRNA from 1 species